rnacentral:lncRNA from 1 species
UUUGUUAAGAGAUAUCUCAAGGAUUUAAUCAAUCUAAGUCUGUUUCUUAUCAUCUCAUCUUCUUAUCUUUGCUUCUAAUCAUGAUUAACAUCACCUCUUGCAAAGGAAAUGGUGUGUUCAUCAUGAUUAGUGAGUAGUCUUCUUUUAAGCUUCUACGUGUGUAGAUUAGGGUGCUUAGAUGUAGAUUAAUGAUUGUUUAAGCUUAGAUUCUCUUCUCUUUUCCUUAGUUAGCUGAUCCUAAUGCUAGAUCUCUCAUUAUAAGCUUGAUCUAGAACUUAGGCAUUUCUCCACCCACAAGGUGUUUGAUGAAAUGCCUGAAUGAGCUAACUUAAGGGUUUAUGCUUUUUUCAUCAUGGGAAUGAUUGUUAAAUGCAUGAAUGACAUAUUCGAACUGUUUCUUAAUGCUCAUUGAUUCAUAUUUCACAAAUGAUGAUUUG